rnacentral:rRNA from 1 species
AUACGGAGGGUGCAAACGUUGUUCGGAAUUACUGGGCGUAAAGCGCGCGUAGGCGGUUUGUUAAGUCAGAUGUGAAAGUCCACAGCUCAACUGUGGAAGUGCAUUUGAAACUGGCAGACUUGAGUACUGGAGGGGGUGGUGGAAUUCCCGGUGUAGAGGUGAAAUUCGUAGAUAUCGGGAGGAAUACCGGUGGCGAAGGCGACCACCUGGCCAGAUACUGACGCUGAGGUGCGAAAGCGUGGGGAGCAAACAGGAUUAGAAACCCCUGUAGUCC